rnacentral:rRNA from 1 species
GACGAACGCUGGCGGCGUGCUUAACACAUGCAAGUCGAACGAGGCCCCUCCUUCGGGAGGGUGUCCUAGUGGCGAACGGGUGAGUAACACGUGGGCAACCUGCCCCCGGCUCUGGGAUAACCCCAAGAAAUUGGGGCUAAUACCGGAUAUGACCGCUGACCGCAUGGUCUGGUGGUGGAAAGAUUUAUCGGCUGGGGAUGGGCCCGCGGCCUAUCAGCUUGUUGGUGGGGUAGUGGCCUACCAAGGCGACGACGGGUAGCCGGCCUGAGAGGGUGACCGGCCACACUGGGACUGAGACACGGCCCAGACUCCUACGGGAGGCAGCAGUGGGGAAUAUUGCGCAAUGGGCGGAAGCCUGACGCAGCGACGCCGCGUGAGGGAUGACGGCCUUCGGGUUGUAAACCUCUUUCAGCAGGGACGAAGCGCAAGUGACGGUACCUGCAGAAGAAGCACCGGCCAACUACGUGCCAGCCGCCGCAGUAACAC